rnacentral:rRNA from 1 species
GACGAACGCUGGCGGCGUGCUUAACACAUGCAAGUCGAACGGAAAGGCCCUGCUUUUGUGGGGUGCUCGAUUGGCGAACGGGUGAGUAACACGUGAGUAACCUGCCCUUGACUUUGGGAUAACUUCAGGAAACUGGGGCUAAUACCGGAUAUGAGCUCCUGCUGCAUGGUGGGGGUUGGAAAGUUUCGGCUGUUGGGGAUGGACUCGCGGCUUAUCAGCUUGUUGGUGGGGUAGUGGCUUACCAAGGCUUUGACGGGUAGCCGGCCUGAGAGGGUGACCGGCGACAUUGGGACUGCGAUAGGGAGCAGACUCCUACGGGAGGCAGCGGUGGGGAAUAUUGCACAAUGGGCGGAAGCCUGAUGCAGCAACGCCGCGUGCGGGAUGACGGCCUUCGGGUUGUAAACCGAUUUCGACGGUGACGAAGCGUGAGUGACGGUAAUGGGUAAAGAAGCACCGGCUAACUACGUG